ACCCUGGGGCCAGUGAAAAGGGAGACCGGAACGAUUCCAGGAGACCGUACCUAGAUCCGACACAGGUGCCCCUGGCUGAGAAGGCCAAGGCGUCUGGGGUUACUCCGGGCUAGGGAACUCGGCAAAUUAGCCCCGUAACUUCGGGAGAAGGGGUGCCUGCCUUCCUGCCCGGUGAGGGUGGGUUGGUAGGUCGCAGUGACAAGGGGGUCCUGACUGUUUAAUAAAAACAUAGGGAGCCGCUAGGCCGAAAGGCUUUGAACGGCUCCUCAAUCCUGGCCAGCACCGGUACCUGAACCCCGGGUCCAACCGGGAUAAGGGCCGGUUAGCGCCGGGGGUAACUCUGACCCUCGAGCUUAAGGGGGUCGUUAAACGCGGCUGUAUGCGGGGAAGGAGGAGGGCGCGGAUACCCUCGAAUCUGGGUAAAAACUCCGUGUCCGGUGAGUCCAACCCGCAGGAAACCGUCCGAUGAAACAGCUAAAACGGCCGACAUACAGGGUAGUCAAGAGAAGAGGCUUGAGCCUUGCCUACAUCAUCGGUAUUAUGCUGGGUGAUGGUGGUGUUUAUGGGAAUUACUACACCGUCUUUUGCAGAGACUCUAACGUGGAGUUCGCGAAUUAUGUCGCUUCAGUCGUGGAGGAGCUGUUCGGCAUCAAGCCGAGCAUACGGAGAGCCGGAAAAAAUCAAUACAUUGUCUCCAGCAAAACAAAGAGAGUUCACGAUUUCCUUCUGAAAGCCGGAUUCCCAAAAGGACGUAAACUCGUUAAUGCCGAGAUUCCUCCACUUUUCAGAGACGACAUCCAAGUGGUGAAAGGGUUGUUUGAUAGCGAAGGCUACUGCGGCGUCGAUGUGCAGAUUCACGGUGGCCGAGAAUACAGAUACCCGUACGUCGGCAUCGACAUGGUCGCAAGGUCCGUUAUAGUUCAGGCCCAUAAGAUUCUCGAAAGGAACACGGUGCACUGCACAUAUCACCGAAAGCAACCUCAAGCAGGCGGAAGGCACUUUCAGUGGCGCCUCGUUGUGAAGGGAUGGAACGAUGUAACCAGCUUCGCCGAGAAAGUCGGCUUCCAACAUCCAGAAAAGUCGAGAAGGCUACAAGAGAUUUUGAGUGAGGGCGGGAUCCUCAGAGACCAUACGCCGCGCACCCUUAACGGGUGAUGAUAUGGUCCAACCCCGACCACCUGUCGGGAAUGCUUAAGGUAGCCAAAUGCCUUGUCGGGUGAGUUCCGACGUGCAUGAAUGGAUCAACGAGGGCCCCGCUGUCCCGGCCUGGAGCCCCGUGAACCCACAUAACGUGGGCGAACAGUCCACGAGCCCCCAGUGGGGAGAGAAGACCCUGUGGAGCUUUACUGCAGCCAGUUGCUGCGGAGCGGUCUGGAGUACAUAGCGUAGCCGGGAGCCGUCGAGGCAGGCCUCUCCGGGGGCCUGCGGAGGCGCCAAUGUAACACCGGCUACUCCGGGCUGCCCCGCUAACCAGGGCCUGACCCUGGGACAACGGCUGGUGGGCAGUUUGGCUGGGGCGGCACUCCUCCGAAAAGAUAUCGGAGGAGCCCAAAGGUCGGCUCAGGCGGGACAGAAACCCGCUGUAGAGUGCAAGGGCACAAGCCGGCCUGACAGGACCCUCGAACGCAAGGGGUCCUGAGGGGAAACCCGGGCCUAGCGAUCCAUCGGCUCCUACCAGUAGGGGCCGGUGGUGUCAGAAAAGUUACCCCAGGGAUAACAGGCUCGUCGCGGGCGAGAGUCCCCAUCGACCCCGCGGCUUGGUACCUCGAUGUCGGCUCUUCCCCUCCUGGCCUCGCAGCAGGGGCCAAGGGUGAGGCUGCUCGCCUAUCAAAGGGGAACGUGAGCUGGGUUUAGACCGUCGUGAGACAGAUCGGAUUCUACCUACUGGGGGUGCGGGCCGCCUGAGGGAAAGGUCCUCCCAGUACGAGAGGAACGGAGGGCCGGGGCCAACGGUUUACCGGUCGUCCUACAGGGCGACGCCGGGCAGCCGCGCCCCUGUGGAUAAGGGCUGAAAGCAUCUAAGCCCGAAGCCACUCCCAAAAAUAGGCGGCCAAUCGAGGCCUAUAGGGCCUGGCAACGGGCCUUGGGCCUUGACGAGGGCUCCCCUAGAAGAGGGGGUUGAUGGGGUGGGUGUGUACGGGCGGAGGCUUAGGCCGGACGCCCUCAGCACGCCACUCCCAAUCGCCCGAGCCGCUUAGAAG
rnacentral:rRNA from 1 species